rnacentral:rRNA from 1 species
UACGAAGGGGGCUAGCGUUGCUCGGAAUCACUGGGCGUAAAGGGUGCGUAGGCGGGUCUUUAAGUCAGGGGUGAAAUCCUGGAGCUCAACUCCAGAACUGCCUUUGAUACUGAGAUCUUGAGUUCGGGAGAGGUGAGUGGAACUGCGAGUGUAGAGGUGAAAUUCGUAGAUAUUCGCAAGAACACCAGUGGCGAAGGCGGCCUCACUGGCCCGAUACUGACGCUGAGGCACGAAAGCGUGGGGAGCAAACAGG